rnacentral:rRNA from 1 species
CUAUCUGCCGUGGGCGUAGGAUGAUUGAUUGGGGCUGCUCCUAGUACGAGAGGACCGGAGUGGACGCAUCACUGGUGUUCCGGUUGUCUCGCCAGAGGCAUUGCUGGGUAGCUAAAUGCGGAAGAGAUAAGUGCUGAAAGCAUCUAAGCACGAAACUUGCCAAGAGAUGAGUCAUCCCUGACUUUAAGUCAGUAAGGGUUGUUGUAGACUACGACGUAGAUAGGUCUGGUGUGUAAGUGUAGUGAUACAUUGAGCUAACAGAUACUAAUUGCCCGAGAGGCUUAACUAUACAACGCUCAAG